rnacentral:rRNA from 1 species
GGAUCGCCCUUCCUACGGGAGGCAGCAGUGGGGAAUUUUGGACAAUGGGGGAAACCCUGAUCCAGCCAUGCCGCGUGAGUGAAGAAGGCCUUCGGGUUGUAAAGCUCUUUCAGCCGGAAAGAAAUCGCACUGGUUAAUACCUUGUGUGGAUGACGGUACCGGAAGAAGAAGCACCGGCUAACUACGUGCCAGCAGCCGCGGUAAUAAGGGCGAUCCC